AGCCUUCUGUAUCCGUGCUGAGAUUUCGUCACACACCCGACCACAAGGGCUGAUGAGACUCCCAAGAUCUUGAGGAU
rnacentral:pre_miRNA from 1 species